GAUGAACGCUGGCGGCGUGCUUAACACAUGCAAGUCGAACGAACCUUCGGGUUAGUGGCGGACGGGUGAGUAACGCGUGGGAAUCUGCCCUCAGGAGGGGGAUAACGGCUGGAAACGGCCGCUAAUACCCCAUAUGCCGCGAGGUGAAAUGAAUUUCGCCUGAGGAUGAGCCCGCGUCUGAUUAGCUAGUUGGUGGGGUAAAGGCCUACCAAGGCGACGAUCAGUAGCUGGUCUGAGAGGAUGAUCAGCCACACUGGGACUGAGACACGGCCCAGACUCCUACGGGAGGCAGCAGUGGGGAAUUUUCCGCAAUGGGCGAAAGCCUGACGGAGCAACGCCGCGUGAGGGAUGAAGGCCUCUGGGCUGUAAACCUCUUUUCUCAAGGAAGAAGACCUGACGGUACUUGAGGAAUAAGCCACGGCUAAUUCCGUGCCAGCCGCCGCUGUAAAAC
rnacentral:rRNA from 1 species